AAAGUACUAUAGCAGCACAUCAUGGUUUACAUACUAUAGUCAAGAUGCGAAUCAUUAUUUGCUGCUCUAGAAAUUUAA
ncrna:Cricetulus griseus (Chinese hamster) microRNA cgr-mir-15b precursor